UGGGGAAUAUUGCACAAUGGGCGCAAGCCUGAUGCAGCCAUGCCGCGUGUGUGAAGAAGGCCUUCGGGUUGUAAAGCACUUUCAGCGAGGAGGAAGGGUUCAGUGUUAAUAGCACUGUGCAUUGACGUUACUCGCAGAAGAAGCACCGGCUAACUCCGUGCCAGCAGCCGCGGUAAUACGGAGGGUGCAAGCGUUAAUCGGAAUUACUGGGCGUAAAGCGCACGCAGGCGGUUUGUUAAGUCAGAUGUGAAAUCCCCGCGCUUAACGUGGGAACUGCAUUUGAAACUGG
rnacentral:rRNA from 1 species